GAUCAUGGCUCAGGAUGAACGCUGGCGGCGUGCCUAACACAUGCAAGUCGAACGAAGCAUCUUACCGGAUUCUUCGGAUGAAAGUUUGGUGACUGAGUGGCGGACGGGUGAGUAACGCGUGGGUAACCUGCCUUAUACAGGGGGAUAACAGUUAGAAAUGACUGCUAAUACCGCAUAAGCGCACAGGAUUGCAUGAUCUGGUGUGAAAAACUCCGGUGGUAUAAGAUGGACCCGCGU
rnacentral:rRNA from 1 species